GCCAGACGUGGGGGCGCAUGCCUGUAAUCCCAGUGGCUUAGGAGGCUGAGGCAGGAGGAUUGAGAGUUCUAAGCCAGCCUCCGCAAUAGUGAGGCACUAAGCAACUCAGUGAGCCCCUGUCUCUA
rnacentral:sRNA from 1 species